AGGGAAUCCUUCCGCCAAUGGACGAAAGUUCUGACGGAGCAACGCCGCGUGAGUGAUGAAAGGUUUUCGGAUCGUAAAGCUCUGUGUUAGGGAAGAACUAAGUGCCGUCAAAUAGGGCGGCACUUGACGGUACCUAACCAGAAAGCCACGGCUAACUACGUGCCAGCAGCCGCGGUAAUACGUAGGUGGCAAGCGUUGUCCGGGAAUUAUUGGGCGUAAAGGGCUCGCAGGCGGUUUCUUAAGUCUGAUGUGAAAGCCCCCGGCUCAACCGGGGAGGGUCAUUGGAAACUGGGGAACUUGAGUGCAGAAGAGGAGAGUGGAAUUCCACGUGUAGCGGUGAAAUGCGUAGAGAUGUGGAGGAACACCAGUGGCGAAGGCGACUCUCUGGUCUGUAACUGACGCUGAGGAGCGAAAGCGUGGGGAGCGAACAGGAUUAGAUACCCUGGUAGUCCACGCCGUAAACGAUGAGUGCUAAGUGUUAGGGGGUUUCCGCCCCUUAGUGCUGCAGCUAACGCAUUAAGCACUCCGCCUGGGGAGUACGGUCGCAAGACUGAAACUCAAAGGAAUUGACGGGGGCCCGCACAAGCGGUGGAGCAUGUGGUUUAAUUCGAAGCAACGCGAAGAACCUUACCAGGUCUUGACAUCCUCUGACAAUCCUAGAGAUAGGACGUCCCCUUCGGGGGCAGAGUGACAGGUGGUGCAUGGUUGUCGUCAGCUCGUGUCGUGAGAUGUUGGGUUAAGUCCCGCAACGAGCGCAACCCUUGAUCUUAGUUGCCAGCAUUCAGUUGGGCACUCUAAGGUGACUGCCGGUGACAAACCGGAGGAAGGUGGGGAUGACGUCAAAUCAUCAUGCCCCUUAUGACCUGGGCUACACACGUGCUACAAUGGACAGAACAAAGGGCAGCGAAACCGCGAGGUUAAGCCAAUCCCACAAAUCUGUUCUCAGUUCGGAUCGCAGUCUGCAACUCGACUGCGUGAAGCUGGAAUCGCUAGUAAUCGCGGAUCAGCAUGCCGCGGUGAAUACGUUCCCGGGCCUUGUACACACCGCCCGUCACACCACGAGAGUUUGUAACACCCGAAGUCGGUGAGGUAACCUUUAUGGAGCCAGCCGCCGAAGUGACUAU
rnacentral:rRNA from 2 species